rfam:Gossypium arboreum cultivar AKA8401 contig_5895_1, whole genome shotgun sequence.
UUUUAAAAAAUUCAUCCAUUUAUACUGUUAAAAAUUGACGUCGCUGAUAGAAUAACCAGACAGUGACACGUGGCAUGCCACGCGUACAUCUUGUUAACGUAUAUGGACUAGUUUUUAACAAUAAAAAUGAAUGAAUGACCA